GCUUUCUUUGUUUUGCCCUUAGGGAGCAGGCGAUUUAGACAACCCGCGGUAACAUCGGCGUAUUCAUUGAUAAUUUUUCAUUAUUGUGCUACUGCUUUAUUACAAUGUUAAUACCUUCCAGAAGUCUACCAAUCUUUUUCUUUUUUGCCCUUAGGGAGUUGUUCAUUAUCACGUUCGAAUGCUGUCUUUGAUUUGCUUUUUGAAACUAAGUUUGGGAAACAAAAUAAUUUUUGUUCAGUCGAUGUACCUCGUUACGCGUGUAGCAUGGUUUCGAGCGACGACGAGAUUGUUCGACCACUGAAACGAUUUUGACAAGCGAAAACCACUGGGGAGGAAGAAGAAGAAGUAUUAGGCCAAGCUGUACUCAAGUCUACUCGAUACAAAUCAAAGUCAAUGGGCGGUAAAUUUAUUUGAAAGCUGGCGUAAAUCACGGAUCAACAAAGACCCAGCUCUGCAAUUGAAUAUUUCGCGCUAGAAGAUAUAGAAGACCUUGGUGUUGACUGGGUUGAAAUGUCUACACUUUCACUCGACUUCUGGAUUGAAAAGCUCCUACAAGACGUUUCUGAUAAGCAAGAGGUGAAAGAUAUCCAGCCAGAACCUUGAGCCAGAUUGUGAGUGGUUUAAAGCGACACAGCUGUAGUCAAAACAUCGAACAGAUGGAUUUGACCAGAAUGAAAAACAUUUGAUUGUUGGCACCUCACCAAUAUAACCCAUGGAAUAAGACAAGCCAUAGUACGAGUGACAAGCAGGGAUGGAUGUAGUUACUGCUAGAUGUAUGCCUCACGUUAGCUUCUGCAUCAGGUCUUCUCGAUACUGUGAAAUCAUAAGAUACAAACUGUACCACUGUGCUUUAUAUCACAAGUACCACAUAUUGGAACCCCUAAAUGUUAACAAGGAGCUGAAUACCUGAAGGGUAAGUCUUUGUUGUCUUGUCGAUUUCAGGCUUUUUGAAAGAAUUGCUGA